UGAGGAAUAUUGGUCAAUGGGCGCAAGCCUGAACCAGCCAUCCCGCGUGCAGGAAGACGGCGCUAUGCGUUGUAAACUGCUUUUCCAGGGAGAAAAACUUGGGCACGUGUUGCGCAAUUGACGGUACCCUGGGAAUAAGCAUCGGCUAACUCCGUGCCAGCAGCCGCGGUAAUACGGAGGAUGUGAGCGUUAUCCGGAUUCAUUGGGUUUAAAGGGUGCGUAGGCGGACUAUUAAGUCAGUGGUGAAAUCCUGCAGCUUAACUGCAGAACUGCCAUUGAUACUGAUAGCCUUGAGUUUGGUUAAGGUAGGCGGAAUGUGUAAUGUAGCGGUGAAAUGCUUAGAUAUUACACGGAACACCAAUUGCGUAGGCAGCUUACUGAGCCGACACUGACGCUGAGGCACGAAAGCGUGGGGAU
rnacentral:rRNA from 1 species